ensembl:lincRNA
AUUUGUAUAGGUGCUAUUUGCAUUUUGCUUGAUAAAGUUAUAGUACUGUUAACCAUUAUUAACAUCUAUGUUUAUUUUAUUGCAAGGGUGAAAUUCAUUCUAGCCCAUCCUGAUCUUUUUAUAGAUCCUCAAAGUUCCUCCAGAACUUUGGACCAGAGUGCCUUAACGCCAUAUUAAAUCAAGAGACUGUUCUAGGGACUCUGCUGAUGUCCAGGUAACUAAAACCUCACCCUUUUGGGGUCAGCCUCCAGGGGCCCAUGAAGGAAGAGCUGUGAGAUUAUUCUGUGCUCUUCCAAGCUUGGAGAACCCAUGGCCAUGGACCAUUUCUCCUCUUUUAAAAAGAAUUGUAUAAUAAAAAUAUUUGAAAAGGAAGUUUUGUUUCUUAGAGACACUAACCAUAUUAUAUACUUUAUAUGCAGCCCGUGACAAUUCCUCUUCACCCACAGGACGGACACCUUACUAGAGCAAAGCAAGGUACGAUCAUGUCACAGCAAUCCCCUGUUCAAUGGUACAGGAAGUGAGCAAGUGGGUGUGAAGGGCUGCCUGGGCUGGGCCGAACAGUUCCUGUUUAUUAAGCCUUCUGUUGCUUUGUUCCUAAGUAAGAUAACGGGCAAAUCCAGAGACACGUGUACGGCUCCAGGUUCACCACGUCGCUGCCUGUGAUCACUUCCUGUCUCUCCCAGCCUGGACACAUGGCAAAUGCAGGAAGGACACGGCGCAAGACCCUGCUGGAGAGCAGCUGUUCACGUCGCGGUGAGCAGGAAGCUGAGAGCGUGCAGCAGGAGCCGGGAAGGGAGAAACCACCAUCCGGGUCGCUUCCCAGCAGGCCGCACCUCAUAAGAGCCGCAGCCCUCAGCCCUGUAAUCCAGUACCUUCCAGAGGUCCUACCUGUGAUUCCGUGUGGGUUGGGGGCACCCUAGAUACAAACCGUAACACUCUCCUACCCCGUCUUCCGGAUCUUCCCUUCCAGGCCCUGCCAACCUGAACUUCACUUAAGCCCAGUUCCCCAGGGAGGAGGAGCUUGGAGGUGGGGAGGGAUGGAUGUGGGUAGGAAGAGCCUACUUUUGGAGAUUCCCAAAACUUCCUGGGCGGCGGGUGGAGUGGACGCUGAGGAGAGGUAAGUUGUCUUUACCGCAGGAACGGAUUUGGAUUAUAAAGCAGGGAAACAGGGUUCUUGAUCAAUAUUUAAUAAUAGUGACUUAAAAUUCAGAUAAAUGUCAGAUCCUUUUUCUUGGUCAUCUCAGUUCCUGCGGAGGAUCAGAUCUCCUAUAUCCUAGUACAGAGUCUUGUCUUCCCUGGAAUUGUGCCCUUUGCACUAAACUACUUAGAGAAUAGAUAUUGAUCAGUAUGGCCGGGUAACAAUAGCAAUUUUUUCUAAUUUUUAAUUGUUAUUAGCACAUUUGCAGUACAUAACGAUUACACUCACUGUAGGGAGUUAGUAUAUGUGCUAACGCAUCUAAGUUCCUUUUUUCCCCUCUCUCCACCCCCUUUUAUUUUGCCAGCAUCAGAUUCAUUUAUUUAUCUUUAAGUCCCUAUAAUUAGCAUAUAUACCUAUUAACAACCAGGCUAAUAGGCCACAAAACAGAUAAAAUGCAUAACACAUUAUACUAGCUCAAGGUACACUUUUAGAUACAUUGUCCAUGCUGGAUUACAAUGGCUUUUUUUUUUUUCUCUCUUUUUUCCUAUUAUCUUUUAUUUCACACUUUAUCUAUUGCAUUUUUCAUGUAAGAAUAACCAUGUGAUAUUUAAGCCAUGUGUCUGAUUUAUUUCAGUUAACAUUGUGGUUUCAAGGUAUAUCCAUUUUCCUACAAAUGACUGAAGCUUUUCCUGCUUUACGGAAGAGCAGUAGGACAAAGUGCUGGAGGUCACUACUUUGAGACUAGAGGAAGAAUUGAGGGGUUAUUACAUUUUCACCACAAGUUGAAAUUUUUAAGUAGUUGAAUUUUUUAUUUUUUUUAGUUUUUAAAAUGUUCAGAUUUCAGUUGCAAAUUAGGAUAGACUUAUAGAAAUAUUGGUUUGUUAACCUGAACAAGUGCUGUACACUGUUGUAAAUGUUUUCAGUGUAUAAUGGCAGAUUCAUGGGUUUCAGAAAUUAUGAAUAAUGAAACCCAUUUUUACUUUUAAAACAUGGGAGGUACAUUUCUCUCUGCUUGUUACAGAAAGUAAAUGGAAAGAGAAAACAUUGAGAGUAUUAUGAAGUCUUGUGUUUUUGACGAAGGAUACUGUUUCAAAUGCUGAUUAUUAUUCACAUUUUAUAUCUAUGAAACAAUAUGUGUUUUAUAAAUUUUAUAAAUCCUUCACUUUUGAGAGGAUUAAGCAGGUUUUUCUCUUAUAGUCAUAACAUGUUCAAAUGUAUUUGCAUCAAUGGUAGAUAUAAUUUCUCUUUGUAAUUGAAAUUUAAAUCCCAGCAUAAAUAUAGUGCUUGGAAAACUAUUUUAUGAGUCUUUCUUUUAUCAGGGUCCUGCAUGAGUAGAAGGUUAUACAGCUGGAGAUUUUUUGGAGACAAUUAAGACUUACUGGCUUCUCAGCUGGUGGUAGAAGUUGCACUCCCAGACUCUUGGUGUCUUGAAAUUGUUA